UACGGGGGGGGGCAAGCGUUGUUCGGAAUUACUGGGCGUAAAGGGUUCGUAGGCGGUUUGUCGCGUCGACUGUGAAAACCUGGGGCUUAACUCUGGGCCUGCAGUCGAUACGGGCAGACUUGAGUUCGGUAGGGGAGACUGGAAUUCCUGGUGUAGCGGUGAAAUGCGCAGAUAUCAGGAGGAACACCGGUGGCGAAGGCGGGUCUCUGGGCCGAUACUGACGCUGAGGAGCGAAAGCGUGGGGAGCGAACAGG
rnacentral:rRNA from 1 species